rnacentral:tRNA from 1 species
GCCUUCGUGGUGUAGUGGUCAGCACGCUCGACGCGUAUUCGAGAGGUCCGUGGUUCGAGUCCCGGCAAAGGCU